rnacentral:rRNA from 1 species
GACAGAGGGUGCAAACGUUGCUCGGAAUUAUUGGGCGUAAAGCGCACGUAGGCGGUUCGUUAAGUCGGAUGUGAAAGCCCUCGGCUCAACUGAGGAAGUGCACCCGAAACUGGCGAGCUUGAGUACGAAAGAGGAUCGCGGAAUUCCCGGUGUAGAGGUGAAAUUCGUAGAUAUUGGGAGGAACACCGGUGGCGAAGGCGGCCAUCUGGGCUGCAACUGACGCUGAGGCGCGAAAGCGUGGGGAUCAAACAGG